rnacentral:rRNA from 1 species
GUAGGGUGCAAGCGUUAAUCGGAAUUACUGGGCGUAAAGCGUGCGCAGGCGGUUUUGUAAGUCUGUUGUGAAAUCCCCGGGCUCAACCUGGGAAUGGCAAUGGAGACUGCAAGGCUAGAGUUUGGCAGAGGGGGGUAGAAUUCCACGUGUAGCAGUGAAAUGCGUAGAUAUGUGGAGGAACACCGAUGGCGAAGGCAGCCCCCUGGGUCAAAACUGACGCUCAUGCACGAAAGCGUGGGGAGCAAACAGGAUUAGAUACCCUGGUAGUCCACGCCCUAAACGAUGUCUACUAGUUGUCGGGUCUUAAUUGACUUGGUAACGCAGCUAACGCGUGAAGUAGACCGCCUGGGGAGUACGGUCGCAAGAUU